AGCGAACGCUGGCGGCGUGCUUAACACAUGCAAGUCGAGGGAGAACGGUUGGCUUCGGCCUUCCUAGUAAACCGGCGCACGGGUGAGUAACACGUAGGUAACCUACCUUCGAGACUGGGAUAACCCAUCGAAAGAUGAGCUAAUACCAGAUAUGACCACGGGAGUUUCGGCUUCCGCGGUGAAAGAUGGCCUCUGCUUGCAAGCUAUUACUCGAGGAUGGGCCUGCGCGCCAUUAGCUAGUUGGUGGGGUAACGGCCCACCAAGGCUACGAUGGCUAGUUGGUCUGAGAGGAUGACCAGCCACACUGGGACUGAGACACGGCCCAGACUCCUACGGGAGGCAGCAGUGGGGAAUAUUGCGCAAU
rnacentral:rRNA from 1 species